GAACGUUAGCGGCGCGCUUAACACAUGCAAGUCGAACGAGAAAGGGCUCCGUUCGGGGCCCCGGUAAAGUGGCGCACGGGUGAGUAACACGUAGAUGACCUACCUCUCGGCGGGGGAUAACGUUCCGAAAGGAGCGCUAAUACCGCAUAAGACCACACUAUAAGGGAAGUGGUUAAAGCUGGCCUCUUCAUGAACGCUGGCACCGAGAGACGGGUCUGCGGCCCAUCAGGUUGAUGGCGGGGUAAUGGCCCACCAUGCCAAAGACGGGUAGCUGGUCUGAGAGGAUGAUCAGCCACACUGGAACUGAGACACGGUCCAGACUCCUACGGGAGGCAGCAGUGGGGAAUCUUGCGCAAUGGGCGAAAGCCUGACGCAGCGACGCCGCGUGAGUGAUGAAGGCCCUAGGGUUGUAAAGCUCUGUGGAGUGGGACGAAUAAGCAAUGGUUAAUACCCAUUGUGAUGACGGUACCUCUUUAGCAAGCACCGGCUAACUCUGUG
rnacentral:rRNA from 1 species